rnacentral:rRNA from 1 species
CCUACGGGUGGCAGCAGUGAGGAAUAUUGGUCAAUGGGCGGAAGCCUGAACCAGCCAAGUAGCGUGCAGGAUGACGGCCCUACGGGUUGUAAACUGCUUUUAUACGGGAAUAACGCGCCUUACGUGUAGGGCUUUGCAUGUACCGUAUGAAUAAGGACCGGCUAAUUCCGUGCCAGCAGCCGCGGUAAGACGGAAGGUCCGGGCGUUAUCCGGAUUUAUUGGGUUUACAGGGAGCUUAGGCCGCAUGUCAAGCGUGCGGUGAAAUGUCCGGGCUCAACCCGGGCCUUGCAGCGCGAACUGGCGUGCUUGAGUCCGCGGCAACCAGGCGGCAUUCGUCGUGUAGCGGUGAAAUGCUUAGAUCUGACGCAGCACCCCGAUUGCGAAGGCAGCUUGCUGCAGCGGAACUGCCGCUGAUGCUC